CAAAGGAGCAAUCCGCUGAAAGAUGGGCUCGCGUCCGAUUAGGUAGUUGGCGGGGCAACGGCCCACCAAGCCGACGAUCGGUAGCCGGACUGAGAGGUUGAACGGCCACAUUGGGACUGAGACACGGCCCAGACUCCUACGGGAGGCAGCAGUGAGGGAUAUUGGUCAAUGGGGGAAACCCUGAACCAGCAACGCCGCGUGAGGGAAGACGGUUUUCGGAUUGUAAACCUCCGUCCUCUGUGAAGAUGAUGACGGUAGCAGAGGAGGAAGCUCCGGCUAACUACGUGCCAGCAGCCGCGGUAAUACGUAGGGAGCAAGCGUUGUCCGGAUUUACUGGGUGUAAAGGGUGCGUAGGCGGCUUUGCAAGUCAGAAGUGAAAUCCAUGGGCUUAACCCAUGAACUGCUUUUGAAACUGCAGAGCUUGAGUGGAGUAGAGGUAGGCGGAAUUCCCGGUGUAGCGGUGAAAUGCGUAGAGAUCGGGAGGAACACCAGUGGCGAAGGCGGCCUGCUGGGCUCUAACUGACGCUGAGGCACGAAAGCGUGGGUAGCAAACAGGAUUAGAUACCCUGGUAGUCCACGCUGUAAACGAUGAUUACUAGGUGUGGGUGGACUGACCCCAUCC
rnacentral:rRNA from 1 species